UGCUGUACCAACUGCGGGCUGCUCGCCUUAGGCCUGCUUUCACCCGACUCCCAGGCUCUACCAACAAGAGAGAGAGAGAGAGAAUGCAACAGCCUGGCAAGAUUUCUGAAAUCUCUGUAACUUUCUGCAAUCCCCAAUCCCCACAGGAAAACCCAAGAGAGCCAAUCCACAGAUCUUUAUAAAGGAGAAGUCCUUAGAUCCUCUGUCUCCUUGACCUUCCCUCUGAACUCCCUGCAGCCAGCUGCCCAACUGCCCAUCAGCUCCCCUAACUUCUCUGGGAUCUAUGUUGAACCAUUCCUGCAUUCCCGGAAUGAAUCCACUUGUCCAGGGCACAUCAGAAAGAAGGUGGGUCAGAAGCAAGGGAGCCAGAACUUGGACUCAAACAAUCACUAUGAUUUGGGAUGCUGGCAUUGCAAGUCUCCAAUAAAAUGGAACGCUAAAAGGCUAACUUGAUUGCUAUA